GCUCUCGUAGUCUAGUGGUCUAGGACGUCACCCUCUCACGGUGAAGAUCGCGGGUUCAAAUCCCGCCGGGAGUG
rnacentral:tRNA from 2 species